AUGGAGGAUUUCCUGUGGAGAGUGAGGGUCUGGGGGUCUGUGUGUUUGAGAAAGUGUUGUUGGUGUUGUGGAGAUAAGAGACAUAAUGAAGUCAGAAGAGAAGACAGAGUGGAAACAUUUGAGAUGAGUGUAACAGAGUUAAAAGAAGGGAUAAAAACCGAAGAGAAGCCAUCAAAAACUUGGAGUGUGUCCUCCCUCCCCGCUGCUGAGCUUUGUGAGUUGGAUGGGGUGGAGAAACCACAGCCGCACUGGUUUCAUACGCUGCAGGUGCGACGGCUCCGAGUUCAGAGAGGCCGCAGUAACAGUGAUCCGCUGGGAGGAAAGAGCUUCCAACAAGAGUUUCAGUGGAAAACCGGCCUGAAGUUUGGAAAUGCAACAUCUUACCUGAACCUUGAAAAACUUGGAGAAGGCACAUAUGCCACUGUGUACAAAGGAAUUAGCAGAAUUAAUGGCCAUCUGGUGGCUUUGAAGGUGAUUCACAUGAAAACUGAGGAAGGAAUUCCAUUCACAGCCAUUAGAGAAGCCUCACUGUUAAAAGGUCUGAAACACGCCAACAUAGUCCUGCUCCAUGACAUCAUCCACACACGAGAGUCUCUUACCUUCGUCUUUGAGUAUGUGCAAACAGAUUUGGCUCAAUACAUAAUUCAGCAUCCUGGCGGACUUCACUCGUACAACGUCAGGCUGUUCAUGUUUCAGUUGUUGCGAGGAUUGUCUUACAUUCAUAGCAGAAGAAUUCUACAUCGAGACCUCAAACCUCAGAAUCUGCUCAUCAGUUAUCUGGGAGAGCUCAAACUAGCAGAUUUUGGACUGGCACGCUCUAAGUCCAUACCAUGCCAAACGUACUCUGCAGAAGUCGUGACUUUAUGGUACCGACCACCUGAUGUUCUCAUGGGCUCCACUGAUUACUCCACUGCCCUGGACAUCUGGGGAGCUGGCUGCAUUUUCAUUGAGAUGCUACAGGGGUCAGCAGCAUUUCCUGGAGUAGCCGAUGUCUUUGAGCAGCUGCUGAAGAUCUGGGCAGUUCUCGGCGUUCCGACCGAGGAAAACUGGCCAGGUGUCAGUGAUUUGCCAAACUAUAAAUCAGAGUGGUUCCUGUCCUGCAAGCCCCAGCAAUUUCGAGAUGUCUGGAAAAGGCUCGCUCAGUUACCUUAUAAGACGGAGGAUCUGGCCCAGCAGAUGCUGAUGAUGAAUCCAAAGGACAGGAUUUCGGCCCAGGAUGCAUUGCUUCACCCAUAUUUCAACACUCUUCCACCUCCGUUAAUGCAUCUAAGGGACACUGUGUCCAUCUUUAAGGUGCCGGGCGUGAGGUUAGAGGCAGAAGCAAGGGAUAUCUUCAUUCCGAGCAGACGGAUGAAAUCGCCUCUCGCUCCUUUAGCCAAGUGCUGGUGAAAGAUUCCUCUUUGCAAAUAAAAAAAGCCCACGACCCCCAUCUUCCUCCCUCUUUUUCUGGCUUUCUCUCAUUUUCCGUCUGGCUUUGUUUGAGAAGCUACCACAGUUCCUGGACAAGCCAUGAGAGGACGCUCUCAUUCUCACACACGCACGCACGCACACAAAAAAAGGCGAUGUUUGAAAUGAAAUCUUACUGAAACCAGAAACAAAUAUAAACUGCUUACUAUUUUUAAAAAUGGUAAAUGAAACAGUAUGUGUUAUUCCACUAUAAACAUUUUAAAAAGUAGUAUGCCAGCUACACUGUUGUCACAUAACGUUAUCAUUAUUUUGCAUUUUUAAAACAAUUUAGUGUAAAAAUGUCUUAACUUUUGGCAGUAUAAUGAGUGGGGGGAAAAUAUGUCAUUAUUCCAGUUCAUUCUUCACACUGGAAAUGGAAGAUAAGGUCAAGCUCAUACACACAGUAUACAAACUAUAGCCUAUACACUGCAUUAUAUAAGAGUAGUAUGCUGUUCUAAAAAUACAAAAAUAAAUUUGUGUCCUUCACCUUCCCCUUCAAGCUGACUUCAGCAUGUCUGUGAAAAGUGUGUGUUGGGUCUGUCCCAGGAGUCAGUGGGUGGGAAGAGUCUGACGGAGUGACUCAAGCAGCCAGUGCCAGCCAAACAUCACUUCAGUCUAUUACGAUGGACUUCAGAGGAUGAACUGAUACCAAACUCCAACCAUGAGACAUGGGAUACAUCAUAUGCCAUUGCCUGAACCUUGGAUAGACCUCACCGAAAUUACCGGCCGGUUGAACUGCAAUGCACCUCACUGAUUUCUGCCUGCAUAACCUCGGUCUAAUGAUGGACUACACGCCUAUAAUGGAAUACAUAGGCUAUCAAUUAAUUGCCAACAAAAGCCUUCAUCAGCCAACUAACAAGGACAAUGCAUCUAUGUGAACUUCUGCAGUUAAUCCAGGAUGGACUUCAAAGACAUUAGUCAUUAAUCUUACAGUUCAUACAAAAUCUUUGUUUAAACACUGGCCCUUAACACUUACUUAGUUUACUAAUUUUAAACUAUGACUUGAACUGCACAUAAAUAAGUAAUAUUGGCAUUAUAUUCAUGAUGUUAGCCAGAGGGGAACUGGCCCCCACAGUGAGCCUGGUUUCUCCCAAGGUUAUUUUUCUCCAUUAACCAACAUCUUAUGGAGUUUUGUGUUCCUUGCCACAGUCGCCUUCAGCUUGCUCACUGGGUUUUCUAAUUACAAUUAUUAUUUAAUGACUUAUUUUUAAACACAAUUCACAAUUGUAAUUUAUCAAACUACACAAUGAUGACUCUAAGACAUUAUAGAUGUUACAGUUUCAUUUUCUGUUAAUGCAUUAUUUUCUGUAAAGCUGCUUUGAAAUGAUGUGUGUUGUGAAAGGCGCUAUACAAAUAAAAAUUACUUGAUGACUUUUUCAGAGGGAGGAAAUCAAGUAAGAGAAAAUCUCAACUUUGUUACCUUGUGCAACAGUCUCGAAUCUAAUGAAACACUGGCUUUUUUUCCCAUUGAAAAUAUUUUCCUUGAUCCUCCUCCCCAUCCUUCUUUGCUCUUUCUUUCCUGUCUUCCUCUCCUCCCUUAUGUGAGGUUGAGUCUUCAAACAAUAGAUCCCCCUGCCUGCUCAUUUAAUCUGCAUAUCACUCUUUCAUUGACCAUUAUCAACAAAAUAGCCACCCAUACUUAGCAUACAAAUUAUCAACUUAUUUAGAGAAAGAGAGAGAAAGAGUGGGGCCCAGCGGGGAGUCUGGUGGAGGAGUGUGGGUUUCCUUUAACAUAAUGGGAUUUUAACUGGGGGAAGGGGUUUAUUGUCUUUUGGCAGCUCAUUAAAACAUUCAAUUUUCUUUGCUUGUUGAUAAGAUAUACCUGUUAAACUCUGCCAACUUUUGUCACCAUGCUACUAUUAGUGCAGAAAUACUAGCAAAUGCUGUAAAACAACUGAUAAGAAACAGAACAAGCAGAACAAAUAGAUGAGAGCUUCCACUGAUAUGUUUUAAAAAUUGGAAUCAACAAGAAAGCAGCUUCCAUGUUAAUAACAAGUUACACUGAAAGAAUUAGUAACCUGAUGUUACCUUAAGGAGCCAUUUCUACCUGAAUUAAUCCUUUGUUGAUGAAACCUAAUGCAUUUAGGAUAAUUCAGUGAUGUUAAAUAAUAUUUUUGACUUGCACAA